rnacentral:rRNA from 2 species
GGGUUGUGAGGUUAAGCGACCAAGCGUACACGGUGGAUGCCCUGGCAGUCAGAGGCGAUGAAGGACGUGCUAAUCUGCGAUAAGCGCCGGUAAGGUGAUAUGAACCGUUAUAACCGGCGAUUUCCGAAUGGGGAAACCCAGUGUGAUUCGUCACACUAUCAUUAACUGAAUCCAUAGGUUAAUGAAGCGAACCGGGGGAACUGAAACAUCUAAGUACCCCGAGGAAAAGAAAUCAACCGAGAUUCCCCCAGUAGCGGCGAGCGAACGGGGAGGAGCCCAGAGCCUGAAUCAGCAUGUGUGUUAGUGGAAGCGUCUGGAAAGGCGCGCGAUACAGGGUGACAGCCCCGUACACAAAAGCGCAUGUGCUGUGAGCUCGAUGAGUAGGGCGGGACACGUGGUAUCCUGUCUGAAUAUGGGGGGACCAUCCUCCAAGGCUAAAUACUCCUGACUGACCGAUAGUGAACCAGUACCGUGAGGGAAAGGCGAAAAGAACCCCGGCGAGGGGAGUGAAACAGAACCUGAAACCGUGUACGUACAAGCAGUGGGAGCACAGGUUUACCUGUGUGACUGCGUACCUUUUGUAUAAUGGGUCAGCGACUUAUAUUCUGUAGCAAGGUUAACCGCAUAGGGGAGCCGAAGGGAAACCGAGUCUUAAUUGGGCGUUAAGUUGCAGGGUAUAGACCCGAAACCCGGUGAUCUAGCCAUGGGCAGGUUGAAGGUUGGGUAACACUAACUGGAGGACCGAACCGACUAAUGUUGAAAAAUUAGCGGAUGACCUGUGGCUGGGGGUGAAAGGCCAAUCAAACCGGGAGAUAGCUGGUUCUCCCCGAAAGCUAUUUAGGUAGCGCCUCGUGAACUCAUCUCCGGGGGUAGAGCACUGUUUCGGCUAGGGGGCCAUCCCGGCUUACCAACCCGAUGCAAACUGCGAAUACCGGAGAAUGUUAUCACGGGAGACACACGGCGGGUGCUAACGUCCGUCGUGAAGAGGGAAACAACCCAGACCGCCAGCUAAGGUCCCAAAGUCAUGGUUAAGUGGGAAACGAUGUGGGAAGGCCCAGACAGCCAGGAUGUUGGCUUAGAAGCAGCCAUCAUUUAAAGAAAGCGUAAUAGCUCACUGGUCGAGUCGGCCUGCGCGGAAGAUGUAACGGGGCUAAACCAUGCACCGAAGCUGCGGCAGCGACGCUUAUGCGUUGUUGGGUAGGGGAGCGUUCUGUAAGCCGUUGAAGGUGGCCUGUGAGGGUUGCUGGAGGUAUCAGAAGUGCGAAUGCUGACAUAAGUAACGAUAAAGCGGGUGAAAAGCCCGCUCGCCGGAAGACCAAGGGUUCCUGUCCAACGUUAAUCGGGGCAGGGUGAGUCGACCCCUAAGGCGAGGCCGAAAGGCGUAGUCGAUGGGAAACGGGUUAAUAUUCCCGUACUUGGUGUUACUGCGAAGGGGGGACGGAGAAGGCUAUGUUGGCCGGGCGACGGUUGUCCCGGUUUAAGCGUGUAGGCUGACUUUCCAGGCAAAUCCGGAGAGUCAAGGCUGAGGCGUGACGACGAGGCACCACGGUGCUGAAGCAACAAAUGCCCUGCUUCCAGGAAAAGCCUCUAAGCAUCAGGUAACAUCAAAUCGUACCCCAAACCGACACAGGUGGUCAGGUAGAGAAUACCAAGGCGCUUGAGAGAACUCGGGUGAAGGAACUAGGCAAAAUGGUGCCGUAACUUCGGGAGAAGGCACGCUGACAUGUAGGUGAAGUGGUUUACCCAUGGAGCUGAAGUCAGUCGAAGAUACCAGCUGGCUGCAACUGUUUAUUAAAAACACAGCACUGUGCAAACACGAAAGUGGACGUAUACGGUGUGACGCCUGCCCGGUGCCGGAAGGUUAAUUGAUGGGGUCAGCGCAAGCGAAGCUCCUGAUCGAAGCCCCGGUAAACGGCGGCCGUAACUAUAACGGUCCUAAGGUAGCGAAAUUCCUUGUCGGGUAAGUUCCGACCUGCACGAAUGGCGUAAUGAUGGCCAGGCUGUCUCCACCCGAGACUCAGUGAAAUUGAACUCGCUGUGAAGAUGCAGUGUACCCGCGGCAAGACGGAAAGACCCCGUGAACCUUUACUAUAGCUUGACACUGAACAUUGAGCCUUGAUGUGUAGGAUAGGUGGGAGGCUUUGAAGCGUGGACGCCAGUCUGCGUGGAGCCGGCCUUGAAAUACCACCCUUUAAUGUUUGAUGUUCUAACGUGGACCCGUGAUCCGGGUUGCGGACAGUGUCUGGUGGGUAGUUUGACUGGGGCGGUCUCCUCCUAAAGAGUAACGGAGGAGCACGAAGGUUGGCUAAUCCUGGUCGGACAUCAGGAGGUUAGUGCAAUGGCAUAAGCCAGCUUGACUGCGAGCGUGACGGCGCGAGCAGGUGCGAAAGCAGGUCAUAGUGAUCCGGUGGUUCUGAAUGGAAGGGCCAUCGCUCAACGGAUAAAAGGUACUCCGGGGAUAACAGGCUGAUACCGCCCAAGAGUUCAUAUCGACGGCGGUGUUUGGCACCUCGAUGUCGGCUCAUCACAUCCUGGGGCUGAAGUAGGUCCCAAGGGUAUGGCUGUUCGCCAUUUAAAGUGGUACGCGAGCUGGGUUUAGAACGUCGUGAGACAGUUCGGUCCCUAUCUGCCGUGGGCGCUGGAGAACUGAGGGGGGCUGCUCCUAGUACGAGAGGACCGGAGUGGACGCAUCACUGGUGUUCGGGUUGUCAUGCCAAUGGCACUGCCCGGUAGCUAAAUGCGGAAGAGAUAAGUGCUGAAAGCAUCUAAGCACGAAACUUGCCCCGAGAUGAGUUCUCCCUGAGACUUUGAGUCUCCUGAAGGAACGUUGAAGACGACGACGUUGAUAGGCCGGGUGUGUAAGCGCAGCGAUGCGUUGAGCUAACCGGUACUAAUGAACCGUGAGGCUUAACCUUACAACGCCGAAGCUGUU